GAAGACAUGUUUUAUGUAGUAUAGAGCAAAAGACAAACAGUGCAGGUUCACUAGUGCUAGAUAACUAGUACUAGCAGUUAUCUAGUUUCUCCCUAUAAGGAGAUUGUAAUGAAUGAAUGAUUACAACAGCUAUCCAAAUCAAUGGCUUCAAUCAAUGACAAAGCAAACUUUGUCCGAAGCGUCUCCCAGAUGUUAUAAGGUGAGAAGCAUAAGGUCCAUUGCAAGGCAUUUGUCUUCAUCUUCAUGUUUAAUGUGAGUCUUCUUGUCUCUGUUUUUAGUAUAUGUCUUCCAUCCUUGAAAGUUGCGCAAUGUCAACACUAGGAGUGCAACAAUACAUGUAUCUGUAUUGAACUGUUCGAUACUUUCGGUUCGGUACGCACAUGUAGUGAACAAUACAAAAUUUUUCAUUUAUUUUAUCAACUUUUCUUCUGAUGAUGCUGUCUGUGUUGAGAGCUCAGUGGAUCUGCAUUUGACUACUCUGCCUAAGCUGCAUUGUUGAGCGCAAAUCCACUGGGCACCGCCCAUAUGCAUUCACUCAAGCUAGCGAGACAGAAGUUAAGUUCGUUGCAACAUGGCAACUGCCUCAACGCUACCCGAAAUUUAACCUCCUCCACCAUCAUUCAGAUCUGGCGUUUGGAUCUAUUUUGGUUUUCAUGUGAAGUAUGACCCUGAUGGUAAGCGCAUCAUGGACAAAAGUACAACAGUAUGUCAGAUGUGUCACGCAAUGCUCAAUUACAUCGGUGGGAACACAACGAAUAUGGCUGCACAUUUACACCGACAUCACCCUAGUGCAAAGACAAGUGGAAGCAGACAAAAACAACAACAAGCACGCAUGCUACAAACUCUACCCGAGUCAUUUAGUCAGCCGUUAACACAUGAUUAUAAGAGGGCAAAAGAAAUAGACAGGGCAAUUACAACUUUUAUUGCUGUCGACAUGCGACCCUUUUCUGUUGUAGAAAACCUACCUACCUGCUAGCACUCCAGAAAUGAGUGUGAGGGGAGGUCCAUCAGAGAGUGGUUCAUUUUAUGGGGCCUGAUAUGUUUAAUAUGCUGCUGAGAAUAUACCCAGAAGAAGGGUAUAGUAUAGCUUUUAUUUUGGAAAGAGACAUUUCUCUGUAGUAAACUCUCUUUUCCACAUAUGAGUGAUUUCUCGAUCAGAUAGAUUUUUUUUAAUUAUUAUUAUAUUGUUAUUUCAGGCUGGCAAAACCCCAUCACCACCUCCUCGUGGUGCCAGCUGGGAACAACGACCCAUUGAGAAGCUGGCCAACAGUGUGGGUCAUUGACGUCAGGGGGAGCGACGCGCCGGUCAACGUAGUCUUCAGUCGCGCCAAAUGCAAUGCCAACCCAAAAUUUGGAAACAAAUACUAGGGGGUCUCCCAGAGGCGAUGCGUGUCGUCCUCGCCCAAACGACGUGAGAAGAGGACGAGGGCUACCUGCCAGUGGACAAGUCAGGCCACAGAAGCUAGUCCAGUUACUAUGUCUCAGUACUAUGAACAUAGGUACAUUAAGCGAAUGAAGCCGCGAACUAGCCGACACUCUCAAGAACCGCCACAUCGACAUCGCGUGCAUUCAAGAAACGAAAUGGAAAGGGGAAAAGGGAAGGGACAUUGAAGAAGGAUUCAAGCUCUUCUACAAUGGCAAUCGGGCUCAGAACGGAGUGGGCAUAGCGGUGAGCCAGAAGCUCCGGGACAGUGUGGUUGAAGUGACCCGCAUAUCGGAUCGUCUUAUGUCACUUAAGAUCGACACUGAUAUGAGACGGAUAUGUGCGAUUCCAUGGCGGCCAAGGAUUCGGGACCCGAAAUGACGAUGGAUGCCGUGUUGUGGACUGCGCAGAGGCAAACGAUCUCGCCGUGGCCAACACUUUUGAAAGAGGCCAGCGCACCUCAUUACGUAUUCUAGUGGCAGCAGGAACCCAAAUCGACUACUGGCUAAUCCGAAGACCCCAUCUGAACCUGGUCACCAACGUGAAGGUCAUCCCGUCAACAAACAUCAGCCCUCAGCAUCGGCUACUUGUGAUGGACCUACGACCCAACCUUGGCCAGCAACGACGACCACCGAUCCCUUCAGUAGAGAAAACUAAAUGGUAGCGCCUUCACGAGCGCAAAAGCCAGCUAGUGGAUGCACUUGGGCACUUCGGCGUGGACCCCAGUGGACCAGUAGACACCAUCUGGGAUAACAUCGCCAGUCAGAUAUACGAUGCGGCAGGCAGCGCCCUUGGGAAGACGAAGCCGGAGAGGCACUUCAUCGACAAGCAAGUGUGACGGUGGAACGACAGUGUGCAGCAAACAAUCAGAAAGAAGACAGCAUUCAAAAUGUGGCUUCAGUCUCGCAACGAUGGCGACUAUCAACACUAUAGGGCCCUUCGAUCGGCCACGAAGAAGGCAGUAGUAGCGGCAAAGGCAUCACACUAUGACCAACUAUACAAAGAACUGGACAUGCCCGGGGGAGCGAACAAAAUCUACCGCCUCACCAGAAACCACCAUCGAGCAACGCAGGACAUCGGCCAGGUCAAACACAUCAAGGAUCCCAACCAUCAGAUCCUCCGCGACCCGCCCACCAUCCUCGAACGUUGGAGCCAGUAUUUCUCAAUUACCACCCGAUCCGACUCCUGUGCCACACCAUGAAGAUAUUCGAGCGGAUCAUUGACGCCAGGCUGCAGGAAAUCGUCACAAUAACACCCAACUAGUGUGGCUUCGUCAAAGGAUGCGGCACAAUAGAUGCCAUCCAUGUUGCCUGCCUGUUGUUGGAGAAGCACCGAGAGAAGACCAAGACCAUCCAUAUGGCCUCCCUCGACCGGGAAAAGGCUUUCGACCGAGUCCCUCAUGACCUGAUCUGGCACUCUCUGCGAUCACACAGGGUCCCCGAGGCCUACGUCGAUUGGAUCAAGCUCUUGUACAGAAACGUGACCAGCACAGUCAGAAGCCCAGUGGGAACAUCACCACCUUUCAACAUCACCGUGGGCGUUCACCAAAGCUCUGCGCCGUCCCUGCUUCUCUUCAUCCUCUGCAUGGACACUGCGACCGCUGACCUCCAAGCUCCCCACCCUUGGACACUCCUCUAUCCUGACGAUGUCUUCCUCACAGAUGAAUCUCGAAUGGAGCUGCAACGCCAAACACAGCAAUGGAAGACACGCCUGAGUGAGUACGGGCUGAGGUUGAACACCAAAAAGACUGAAUACUGGCCCCCAAACUGACAGCACCAUCAGUGUCGAUGGAGAAGACCUGGCGAAGGUAUCUCACUUCAAGUACCUCGGAUCGAUGAUCAGCAACGACGGUGACAUCCUGCCAGAAGUGCGGCCUGGAUGAAGUGGCACCAAGUCACUGGUGUCCUGUGCGACCGACGAAUGGCUGACCGCCUCAAGUCGAAGAUCUACAAGACCGUAGUGCGCCCUGUGGCCAUUUACGGAUCAGAGUGUUGGCCGGCCACUGCAAAGCACAAACAAGCCCUUCAAACAAUGGAAAUGCGGAUGCUGCGAUGGUGCCUGGGCCUGACACAAUGGGACCACGUCACAAACAUCGACAUCCGAAAGCAGCUGGGCAUCGCACCAAUUACGGAGAAGAUGCAAAGAGCACAACUGCUGGGCACGUGGUCAGAAGUGACGAAAAAUUGGUGGCAAGAACAGCAAUGCGACUCAGCCCCCAAGGCCGGCGACCAAGGGGCAGACCAAAAAGGUGAUGGAUGGACCAAUUUAGAGAUGACAUGAAGAAGAUCGGCGCCAACCUGAA